UUAAUUGCCACUGCAGCAUCAUCAAGAUUCUCAUAUAACUGAUUAAUGGGCCAUGCUCAUGAAACCCUAGAACAGUUAUGUGAAUCUUGAUGGUGCAGCAACAGCAAAAAC
rnacentral:pre_miRNA from 1 species